CUUCUUUUUUUUUUUUUUUUUUUACACAGGUCUUGUCACCUUCUCGUUACUGGCCGAGAGAAGAGAUAUUUGGACAAAUUUGUCAGUUACGCUCAGACACGUCUUUUUCUUUUUUUUGUUGAUAGUGUUCUUCGUGUUCUAUCGCCAUAUCUGUUCUUCUCCCAUACUAAACUUGUUAUUGAAUUUGUUUGCGUAAGAUGACUAAUGCAUGUCGCUGCGACGGGCAUGCAACGAGAGUGAGAGACGCGCGAUUUCGCUGGAUCCAGAUUUUCUAAUAAUUCGCAGAGAACCUCAGACCGCCUGUGUGAUGAUUAGGAUUCAGUUAUAGACGAGUUAUAGACGAUUAAAAUAGACGUAGAGAGACAUUAACAUCUCGGUCAGAUUUUAGUAUGCAUCUCGAUACGAGUCUAACAUAUCGCACGUUUUUCAAGCGGCUACUUCGUAGCUUUACAGUGCUUCCGUUCAUCUUUCAGCUCCGAAAAAGCCGCUGUCGCCGUUCGCCAAAUUUCGUCAGCUCGAUAGGCAAAAUAGCGCCAGUUUGUCAAGCUCUCUAAAGUCACCGGGAACGGAUUUUCGAUUCAAAUUUACCGAACCGACUGUACGAGAUAAUGCUGCGCAAAUCAAAGAGCGGUUACUGGCGUGGUGUCGAUCGAAAACCAAAGAGUACGAGAAUGUACAGCUUGAAAACUUCUCGACAAGCUGGAAUAACGGCUUAGCAUUCUGCGCGUUGAUCCAUCACUUCAGGCCGGAUGCUUUCGAUUACAAUUCUCUACGCC